rnacentral:rRNA from 1 species
GACGAACCGUGCGAACGUUGUUCGGAAUCACUGGGCAUAAAGGGCGCGUAGGCGGCUUAUCAAGUCAGGGGUGAAAUCCGGCAGCUCAACUGUCGAAGUGCCCUUGAUACUGACGAGCUCGAGGGAGGUAGGGGUCUGUGGAACUUCCGGUGGAGCGGUGAAAUGCGUUGAUAUCGGAAGGAACGCCGGUGGCGAAAGCGACGGACUGGACCUCUUCUGACGCUGAGGCGCGAAAGCCAGGGGAGCAAACGGG